GAGCAGCCCAAGAGGUCGCCUUUCCCUACCAGCCAGCCCUCUCCCAUCCCAACACGUCGGGCGGGCUCCGGAGGCGGCGGCCAGGGGGCCUGCGGGAUCGAGGCCCGUUUCUCUCUUUGGUUAUCUAGCUGUAUGAGUGUUAUUGAGCUAUCAUAAAGCUAGAUAACCGAAAGUAGAAAUGACUUUCACAACUUCUCCGAGCUGGGAGAGCCCCCCCUCCCAACCUACCACCACCUUCGUCACGUCCCCACAAUCCCCGCCUUGUCCCUGGCGGAAAGGAGGCGGCGGUUGCAACGGAGCCUAAGGAUCCGGGAAUCCGACUUACCAAGUAGAGGCCCAUGGGCGGCCCCUACCCAGAACCAGAGACUGGAAAACAUUCCUGAAUGGCACGAUUUGGGAGGAGAAUGGAGGGAAUCCUGUGCAAAUGAGAAAAUGGCUCAGCAGCUUUCAACCAAAAAUCUGUUGGAACCAAGAUGUACUUGAGAAAUGAAUACACCUUCAGGGCCAACAGUGUAGAUCGCUUGAGUUGUUGAAAGCGCUUUGAAAAGAGCAUGCUUUUGAGCGGAUGGCCCCAAUGUAGAGCCUCUACACGUUUUGAUCUUAAAUGACAUGGCUGAAAAGGCGCAAGACGGAACAUGGCUUGUACUCCUAGAAGAUGGAGCCGGGAGAGAGAAAUGUAGUCCCUAUGAGUCAGAGCUACCCUUCUCGAAUGCCCUUCUGCAUCUGAUUCUGUUGGUGGUCAAAUUCCCUAAAAGGGAAUCAAGAAGAAGAGAAUCUCAGAAAAGAAGAUUAUGGACCCCUUGA
rnacentral:lncRNA from 1 species